rnacentral:rRNA from 1 species
ACCCGCUGAACUUAAGCAUAUCAAUAAGCGGAGGAAAAGAAACUAACAAGGAUUCCCCUAGUAACUGCGAGUGAAGCGGGGAAAGCUCAAAUUUAAAAUCUGGUAGUCUUUGGCUGCCCGAGUUGUAAUCUAGAGAAGCGUUAUCCGUGCUGGACCGUGUAUAAGUCUUCUGGAAUGGAGCGUCAUAGAGGGUGAGAAUCCCGUCUUUGACAUGGACUACCAGUGCUUUGUGAUGCGCUCUCGAAGAGUCGAGUUGUUUGGGAAUGCAGCUCUAAAUGGGUGGUAAAUUCCAUCUAAAGCUAAAUAUUGGCGAGAGACCGAUAGCGAACAAGUACCGUGAGGGAAAGAUGAAAAGAACUUUGGAAAGAGAGUUAAACAGUACGUGAAAUUGUUGAAAGGGAAACGCUUGAAGUCAGUCGCGUUGGCUAGGAAUCAGCCUUGCUUUUGCUUGGUGUACUUCCUGGUUGACGGGUCAGCAUCAAUUUUGACCGGUGGAAAAAGGCCAGUUGAAUGUGGCACCUUCGGGUGUGUUAUAGCUUCUGGUCGUAUACAUCGGUUGGGAUUGAGGAACUCAGCACGCCGCAAGGUCGGGGUUCGCCCACGUUCGUGCUUAGGAUGCUGGCAUAAUGGCUUUAAUCGACCCGUCUUGAAACACGG